AGGUAAAAAAUAGCCCGAAACGACUCCUGUUUCGGGCUUAGGGGAAUGGCUCGUGAGAGCCUUGCGCUAACUGGUUAGUAAAUGGAGAUCAAUUACACUAUCAAUGGUAGUUCAAGCAGUAUAAUUUGCCAGUAU
rfam:Photobacterium ganghwense strain DSM 22954 contig0019, whole genome shotgun sequence.